AGUCCAAUGGGCUUACUGUGGAUCAUGAGGCCUGUGUAUGGCAGUGAAACAUGACCCAGGUUGAGGAAGAAGGAUAUCCGUACUCCACUGCUGGUUCAGAUCUCUGUGUACAGUGGCCACAUCAGCCAGGACUACAGUGAGCAGGCUGCUGUAGCCUGUACAGUCGUAGAGCGCUGGUGUUUGGCCCCCGUAGUCCAAAAGAUAGACAUCUACAAGAACGGAAUCCAGGGAACCCUUUUUAUACCAGCAGGUCCUGGACCUUUCCCUGCUGAGCUGGAGCUAUCUGGGGGAGGAGGGGGUCUGUUUGAGCAUCGCUCCUACCUGUUAGCAUCCCAAAGCUACGUCUCCUUAGUGCUGCAGUACCCCACGGACGUCUCUACAAUGGUUGCCAUAGGAUGCAAGUACUUUGAGGAAUUUGCACAGUUCAUUGUGGAAACAGAUGCAAGAGGCCUGAAGUGUGUGUGCUCUGGAGUUUGUUGUGAACCUGCCGCCCCUACUUCAGACAGCCUUCACUAUGCUGAGACCAUCCUCAGGUGGCCAGUGAUAGAGGCUAUGUUUGGCUUCUCACUGGGAUUCCUUAUCCCUGACCGUUUACACUGAUGUCAUUAACAUGAUUAUUCCACACCUUCCUCUUUGAAAUUGACUUGUUUGAUUGAUAACCAGUUAAUUAGUGAACGCAAAUACUGUAAACAAUUAUUUUACAGGUGCUCUGUAGGCACACCUCUCUCCUAUUUCCCAACAUAUUUGUUGAUAAUCCCCCUCUCUUCCAGCCCAGAUGUAUGGUGAGUAUACGUGGCAGCCAUGUUUUCCCUUUCAGAUUGUCGCUUGUGUCAAUAGCUGACAGGUACAACACGUGAGUGUGUUUUAACCUAUUCUAAAGCAAUGGGAAAUGACCUCAUUUGGAAUGCACUGAAAUUAUAGUUGUAUUUUGCUCAAAUUUCUAGAAAUAUGCACUUUGAUGAGAACAAUCAUUUGAUCUGGAGAGACACAAUCCAGCCCAUCACUGAGAGUGGCCCUAAAGUAGAGGUCAGGAGGUUAAAGUGUCCAUUACUGAUGGUCAUUGGAGAAGCUUACCAGAACUGUGCCACUACAGAAUCUGUCCAGGAUAUGCGCAGUACAGUAUGUUGGAGAGGGCAGGGAACCUGUGUCUUACCCUGGGGCUGGUCACCUAAUCAAACCUUUCUACACUCCUCACUUCCGCUCCAGCACCUCCAGGGGCAAAGUGAUCAUGUUGUGGGGAGGGGAGUCCAAAUGGAGGAGGAUCCUGGAGUUCCUUCAGAAGAACCUGUACCAAAGACAGGACCCCUCUGUCCCCUCAGAGCUGUCAGAUCCUCCUGGACUAUCUCCAUUAUUAUAGUCAUCGCUUCUCCAGCUUCAUUAUCUGUCAGGGCCCUAUUCUUGAAAUUAAGUAGAGACAAUAUUGGUUGGAUUUUUUUUUACUCACCAGGUGGCAGCAUUGCACAGUCUCUUAAAUGACUGGUCUGCUGCUUGUAGUUGUCAUAGUAGUCAAUGUCCUGACAAUUACAAGGAGGAAGAAGAGGAGAUGGUCGACAUCGGCCUUUCAUCAAAGUCCUUAUAGGGAAGCCUUUCUGUUUAAAGACCAUGGAUCAGACCUUGGCUGCUCGGUCACGGUUGAGUUGCGGUCUUCUAGCCAACCUGGUUUGGAUUCCAAACUCCUGUGAGGUGACAUGAAGUGUUAUUGAUCUCAGAGUUGAAGAGAAUGAACACCGCUGCCUUUAACUCUCAUCAACUGCAUACUUUUUUCUUUUUUACAUGUCACCCAUAUAUUCUCACUCCAGAUUCCAUUCUGGCAAAGGGGACCGAUGGCCUAAACAUCUCCAUGUGUUGCACAUAUAUUAAACCAAUAGCCUGGUCUGGAUCUGCUUGUGCUGUGUUGCUCCUAUGGUCAUUAUCAUCCCAAACAUCGUCAUGCUCAAACAGAUCUGGGACUACGUAGGCUACUAAACCAAUGCCUUGUCUAGUGAUGAAGGAUAAGUUCCCAAUCUGGCAACCUGCCAUGCCAUUAAACUAAGGCCUUGUCUAGUGAUGAAGGAAAAAUACCCAAUCUGGCAAUCCGCCGUGCUGUUAAACCUUUACAGACUCAGCAGCCUUGUGGUGUGACUUGGCAUCCCCCCCCCCCUUCCCCCCUAUUAUUUUGAGGAGGAAGUAAUCCAGCGCCUGUAUCCCAUGCAUCAGACACACUCUCCGGCCCCGCCAUGAAAAACAUUCCACUGGCAGCCCCUCAGCACGGCCAAAAUGGGCCAAAUUCCUACUUUUGAAACUCCAUUGAAAGAAUAUGUUCAUGUUGUGAGCCGAAAAAAAGAAGAAUAAUAGAUUAAAGCGAUUUUAAAAGAAAACAUUUGCAUUAAUCAUUGUCACACAUGGUGGCGGUAGAGAAGAGGACGGGGUGGAGGGGUUUAGAUGGUUCUGGUUUGGUUCAGAUGUUCUGAUUUAUGAGCUAUAGAGCCAAGCACAGUGUGAUGCUAUUACCCAGAUAAUGAUGCCACCUAGUGACCAUGGCAAUGUACAAACCCUGUAACUCUGGUUAGGGUCCAUGCCAUGUUACGUGGGCAGCCCACAGAACACUAGAUCUAGAAUCCCUACUCCCAAAGGGGCUGAUAGUGAGGUAGGAUUUUAGAAAUGUGACCCCACCCACUUUUAGUACAGAGGUGGAAGGGAGGGUUGAAAUAUGUCCCUGUCCAUCCAGAGUUUUGACAGACUGAUAUAGCAUGUAUAAUGGAUAGGGAGCCUGGCUUUGACAGUGAGAGGGGAGAGGGGGGAUGGUGCCAACAGCGUGUGCGUCUCCGCUUGUGUGUGUGUUAGUUUCCUAUGUGUUAGUCAAGGAUUGGGAUACCUCAGUGUAUCCAACAGCCAAUUACACAGUAUGAGGAGGGUAGAGUCCAACCCAUAACAACCUACAUUAACAGCCUGCAUGAGCUCAUGAGAUCAGCCUGAAAUUAAAUAAACACACUACCAAUACUUUGAAUCAUGUCACCAAGAAUAGUUAAAACUACGUCUCAAAACAGAUCAAAUAAAUAUAAGCUGUUUAGUACAUUUACACAUGCCAUGCGUUCAUUUGAUUGGGUUAAUAUAUCCUU
rnacentral:lncRNA from 1 species